CUAUAGAAACAAUUCGUGCGCUCCCAAGAAGAAAAAUUUGAAAACUAUCCACAAUCAACCUCUAGUCAUGGUAGACAACAUUUAAACACGGUAGAGAUGUAUGUGUCCGUUUGAUUUUGAAGUUAUAACCUGAAUACCUGAUGACGAAGAUUAUAAUAACACAGUCUGCUUCAAACAAAACCCUCCAAACUGCAAAGGACGACAGACUUAUAAGAACUUUCUGAUAAACCCCUGGAAG
rnacentral:lncRNA from 1 species